rnacentral:rRNA from 1 species
AACGAACGCUGGCGGCAUGCCUAACACAUGCAAGUCGAACGAGACCUUCGGCUCUAGUGGCGCACGGGUGCGUAACGCGUGGGAACCUGCCCUUAGGUUCGGAAUAACUCCCCGAAAGGGGUGCUAAUACCGGAUAAUGUCUUCGGACCAAAGAUUUAUCGCCUUUGGAUGGGCCCGCGUUGGAUUAGCUAGUUGGUAGGGUAAAAGCCUACCAAGGCGACGAUCCAUAGCUGGUCUGAGAGGAUGAUCAGCCACACUGGGACUGAGACACGGCCCAGACUCCUACGGGAGGCAGCAGUGGGGAAUAUUGGACAAUGGGCGAAAGCCUGAUCCAGCAAUGCCGCGUGAGUGAUGAAGGCCUUAGGGUUGUAAAGCUCUUUUACCCGGGAUGAUAAUGACAGUACCGGGAGAAUAAGCUCCGGCUAACUCCGUG